UACAGAGGGUGCGAGCGUUAAUCGGAAUUACUGGGCGUAAAGGGCGCGUAGGCGGUUAUAUAAGUUGUAUGUGAAAUCCCUGGGCUUAACCUAGGAACUGCAUAUAAGACUGUAUGACUAGAGUGUGGUAGAGGGUAGUGGAAUUUCCGGUGUAGCGGUGAAAUGCGUAGAUAUCGGAAGGAACACCAGUGGCGAAGGCGGCUACCUGGACUGACACUGACGCUGAGGAGCGAAAGCGUGGGGAGCGAACAGG
rnacentral:rRNA from 1 species